GGGUCAUUUCAAAGAGGGCUCAUGAGGCUGUGAAACCCAGAGCUCUUAACGCUGUGACCAAAGAUGGAAGUUCUCUAUAGGAAGCCAUAGCACUCCUAAUGUUUGGUGCUAUGUUUUCCUGAGGAGAUAUAAAA
ensembl:snoRNA SNORA25 small nucleolar RNA, H/ACA box 25